rnacentral:rRNA from 1 species
UACGUAGGGUGCGAGCGUUGUCCGGAAUUACUGGGCGUAAAGAGCUCGUAGGUGGUUUGUCGCGUUGUUCGUGAAAACCGGGGGCUUAACCCUCGGCGUGCGGGCGAUACGGGCAGACUUGAGUACUGCAGGGGAGACUGGAAUUCCUGGUGUAGCGGUGGAAUGCGCAGAUAUCAGGAGGAACACCGGUGGCGAAGGCGGGUCUCUGGGCCGUAACUGACGCUGAGGCGCGAAAGCCAGGGGAGCAAACGGG